AUUGAACGCUGGCGGCAGGCCUAACACAUGCAAGUCGAGCGGAGCGGCGGACGGGUGAGUAAGGCCUAGGAAUGUGCCUGGUCGUGGGGGAUAACGUCCGGAAACGGGCGCUAAUACCGCAUGCUAUCAGAUGAGUCUAGUGUGGAUUAGCUAGCUGGGGGGGUAAAGGCCUACCAAGGCGACGGUCCGUCACUGGCCUGAGAGGAUGAUCAGUCACACUGGAACUGGUACACGGUCCAGACUCCUACGGGAGGCAGCAGUGGGGAAUAUUGGACAAUGGGCGAAAGCCUGAUGCAGCCAUGCCGCGUGUAUGAAGAAGGUCUUCGGAUUGUAAAGCACUUUAAGUUGGGAGGCGUUACCAACAGAAUAAGCACCGGCUAACUUCGUGCCAGCAGCCGCGGUAAUUC
rnacentral:rRNA from 1 species